rnacentral:rRNA from 1 species
UUGCGGUUAAAACGCUCGUAGUUGGGUUUCUGUCAGGAACAACUGGUCUGUCCUGAGUGUCGAGUACUAGUUCGGCUCCUGGCAUCUUCUUGGGGAACGGGUGCGCACUUCACUGUGUGGCCUGGAAACCUUGACGUUUACUUUGAGGAAAUGAGAGUGCUUCAAGCGGGUGUCCGCCACGAAUACGUUAGCAUGGAAUAAUAGUAUUGGACCUCGGAUCAUAGCUGUUGGUUGCUGGAAUCGGGGUGAGGGUAAACAGGGACAGUUGGGGGCAUUCGUAUUUAACUGUCAGAGGUGAAAUUCUUGGAUUUGUUAAAGACCGACUACUGCGAAAGCAUUUGCCAAGGAUGUUUUCAUUGAUCAAGA